GAUGAACGCUGGCGGCGUGCCUAAUACAUGCAAGUCGAGCGAACGGACGAGAAGCUUGCUUCUCUGAUGUUAGCGGCGGACGGGUGAGUAACACGUGGAUAACCUACCUAUAAGACUGGGAUAACUUCGGGAAACCGGAGCUAAUACCGGAUAAUAUUUUGAACCGCAUGGUUCAAAAGUGAAAGACGGUCUUGCUGUCACUUAUAGAUGGAUCCGCGCUGCAUUAGCUAGUUGGUGAGGUAACGGCUUACCAAGGCAACGAUGCAUAGCCGACCUGAGAGGGUGAUAGGCCACACUGGAACUGAGACACGGUCCAGACUCCUACGGGAGGCAGCAGUAGGGAAUCUUCCGCAAUGGGCGAAAGCCUGACGGAGCAACGCCGCGUGAGUGAUGAAGGUCUUCGGAUCGUAAAACUCUGUUAUUAGGGAAGAACAUAUGUGUAAGUAACUGUGCACAUCUUGACGGUACCUAAUCAGAAAGCAACGGCUAACUACGUG
rnacentral:rRNA from 1 species